rnacentral:rRNA from 1 species
CCUACGGGAGGCAGCAGUGAGGAAUAUUGGUCAAUGGGUGUAAGCCUGAACCAGCCAAGUCGCGUGAGGGAUGAAGGUUCUAUGGAUCGUAAACCUCUUUUAUAAGGGAAUAAAGUGUGGGACGUGUCCUGUUUUGUAUGUACCUUAUGAAUAAGGAUCGGCUAACUCCGUGCCAGCAGCCGCGGUAAUACGGAGGAUCCGAGCGUUAUCCGGAUUUAUUGGGUUUAAAGGGUGCGUAGGCGGCCUUGUCAGUCAGCGGUGAAAGUCGGUGGCUCAACCAUAGAAUUGCCGUUGAAACUGGGAGGCUUGAGUAUGUUUGAGGCAGGCGGAAUGCGUGGUGUAGCGGUGAAAUGCUUAGAUAUCACGCAGAACCCCGAUUGCGAAGGCAGCCUGCCAGGCCAUGACUGACGCUGAUGCACGAAAGCGUGGGGAUCAAACAGGAUUAGAUACCCUGGUAGUC